GACGAACGCUGGCGGCGUGCUUAACACAUGCAAGUCGAACGGAAAGGCCCCUUUGGGGGUCCUCGAGUGGCGCACGGUUGCGUAACACGUGAGUAACCUGCCCUUUACUUCUGGAUAACUUCAGUAAACUGGGGCUAAUACCGGUUAGGAAUCCUUGCUGCAUGGUGGGGGUUGGAAAGCUUCUGCGGUUUUGGAUGGACUCACGGCCUAUCGGCUUGUUGGCGGGGUAGUGGCUUACCGAGGCUUUGACGGGUAGCGCGACUGUGAGGGCGACAGGCCACACUGGGACUGAGAGGCGGCACAGACGCCUACGGGAGGAAGAAGGGGGGAAUAUUGAUCCAUGGGCGCAGGGCGGAUGCAGAAGCGCCGCGGGCGGGAUGACGGCCUUCGGGUUGAAGAACGCUUUCAGCAGGGGCGAAGCUUGUGGUGACGGUACCUGCAGAAGAAGCACCGGCUAACUACGUG
rnacentral:rRNA from 1 species